AAAAAAAGAAAAAAAGAAAAUGAGAGACAAACAUAAAUGAAAAAUGAAGCAGUCCGUGAUUUACGGUUUCGAGAUUGAAGACUAACCAGAGAGCUGAAAGAGGAAACAAAAAGGAAAGGAGAAAUUGCUAUAAGAAAACAUUCGCUUCUUAGAGAGAGAGAGAGAGAGAGUUGUGGUCACGUUGGGUUUCAGGUGGAGGUGGUGCUCGGAGAUCUUGUCAGCCAGAUCGGAAGCAGAAAGAAGAUAAAAAAAUUCGCUUGUAAGAAUUUUUUUGUUAUUAAUUGUUUAGUAGCCCGUUAAUUGUCAACCACUUCAUGCACGUCUUGUGUUCUUUGGUUCGAUCUACUUGUUUCCUUUCCGCAUCUAUCUCUACCUUCGUGCCCGCUGCUGAGCACUCUUCUUC
rnacentral:lncRNA from 1 species